GCUGGGUGUGGUAGUGCACACCUGUAAUCCCAGCUACUCGGGAGGUUGAGGUAGGAGAAUCGCUUGAACCCAGGAGGCAGAGGUUGCAGUGAGCCAGGAUCACGCCACUGCACUCCAGCCUGAGCGACAGAGCGAGACUCUGUCUCUU
ensembl:misc_RNA Metazoa_SRP Metazoan signal recognition particle RNA